GGCGAACGCUGGCGGCGUGCCUAAUACAUGCAAGUAGAACGCUGAAGCUUGGUGCUUGCACCGAGCGGAUGAGUUGCGAACGGGUGAGUAACGCGUAGGUAACCUGCCUGGUAGCGGGGGAUAACUAUUGGAAACGAUAGCUAAUACCGCAUAAGAGUAGAUGUUGCAUGACAUUUGCUUAAAAGGUGCAAUUGCAUCACUACCAGAUGGACCUGCGUUGUAUUAGCUAGUUGGUGAGGUAACGGCUCACCAAGGCAACGAUACAUAGCCGACCUGAGAGGGUGAUCGGCCACACUGGGACUGAGACACGGCCCAGACUCCUACGGGAGGCAGCAGUAGGGAAUCUUCGGCAAUGGACGGAAGUCUGACCGAGCAACGCCGCGUGAGUGAAGAAGGUUUUCGGAUCGUAAAGCUCUGUUGUAAGAGAAGAACGAGUGUGAGAGUGGAAAGUUCACACUGUGACGGUAUCUUACCAGAAAGGGACGGCUAACUACGUG
rnacentral:rRNA from 1 species